rnacentral:rRNA from 1 species
GACAGAGGUCCCAAGCGUUAGGCGGAAUCACUGGGCUUAAAGCGUGUGUAGGCGGAUUUGUAAGUACCUUGUGAAAUCCCACGGCUCAACCGUGGAACUGCUUGGUAUACUGCUUAUCUUGGGCCAUCUAGGGGCGAGCGGAACAAACGGUGGAGCGGUGAAAUGCGUAGAUAUCUGGAGGAACACCGGUGGCGAAGGCGACAUCCUGGACCGGUAUUGACGCUGAGGCGCGAAAGCCAGGGGAGCAAACGGG